rnacentral:lncRNA from 1 species
AGAGUGUCACUCUGUCCCCCAGGCUGGAGUGCAUGGUGCGAUCUCGGCUCACUGCAACAUACGCCUCCCAAGUUCAAGCGAUUCUCCUGCCUCAGACUCCCGAAUAGCUGGGAUUACAGGCACCCGCCAUCAUGCCCAACUAAUUUUUGUAUUUUUGGUAGAGAUGGGGUUUCACCAUGCUGGCCAGGCUGGUCUUGAACUCCUGACUUCAGGUGAUCAGCCCACCUCAGCCUCCCAAAGUGUUGGGAUUACAGGUGUGAGCCACCGUGCCCAGCCU